GUGGGGAAUAUUGGACAAUGGGGGGAACCCUGAUCCAGCCAUGCCGCGUGUGUGAAGAAGGCCUUUUGGUUGUAAAGCACUUUAAGCGAGGAGGAGGCUACCGAGAUUAAUACUCUUGGAUAGUGGACGUUACUCGCAGAAUAAGCACCGGCUAACUCUGUGCCAGCAGCCGCGGUAAUACAGAGGGUGCAAGCGUUAAUCGGAUUUACUGGGCGUAAAGCGCGCGUAGGUGGCCAAUUAAGUCAAAUGUGAAAUCCCCGAGCUUAACUUGGGAAUUGCAUUCGAUACUGAUUGGCUAGAGUAUGGGAGAGGAUGGUAGAAUUCCAGGUGUAGCGGUGAAAUGCGUAGAGAUCUGGAGGAAUACCGAUGGCGAAGGCAGCCAUCUGGCCUAAUACUGACACUGAGGUGCGAAAGCAUGGGGAGCAAACAGGAUUAGAAACCCGGGUAGUCC
rnacentral:rRNA from 1 species